UGCCUUCCUGUCUUACCAAUGCUUAGGACAACGUGAAGCACGAACUCUGCAGCCAAAUGAAAUAGGAGUUGCAGUCAGGUCAAAGUCACAUGAUUCCAUGCGUAGCUUGUGGCGUGGGCUAAGAUGAAAUGCAUCGCAUCCAACCCUCGAAGCUUCAGAAUAUCCACUGCAGGACUUCCUGGAGGAAAAGGCCCCUGAGGUAUCUCCUUGUUGGAUUCAGGCAUCUGAACAAUACACGCCUAUGAGGCUGACCCAGGAAGCCACAACUUCUAGGAGACAGGAAGCUGUCAUGUUCUACAGAAAGCAGACCCCAAAAGACUCCUGAAAGAAGAUUCAUCUGCAUGUGAUUUAUCAAAGAGAUGCUCUCAGGAGAGACAGGUAAGGCAGGAGAAGCAGGACAGAGAAGGGGAAGAGCCGAGCAAAGGUGGGGUCUCGGGCAAAGCUCCUGCGAGGCUGUGGGGGAACUCUGGAGGGGAAGUUACAGCUCAGAGUCGUUGGAGCUUGUGGCAAGGGAGCUGGGCUCUUGUCCCCUUCUUCAGUCUUUAGCUAAAGCCUGUGUGUAUGUGGGCAUGUCCGUCUGUGCAUGCACGUGUGUGUAUACGUCUCUGCCAGCCUGUGGGCGAAGCAGGUCUAGAAGCCCAGGGACGGUCCUUGGAAGAUGAACCAGGGGUGCGUGCCACUGAGAGAGCCAUCAAAGCUGGAGUGUUGGGGGCACCCUAAAAGAAUUCUGGGGGUCUAGACAGAACCCCUACAUCCUUUACCACAUACACCUUUCCUCCCAUUUUAUUAACAUUUGAUAACGGAAA